rnacentral:lncRNA from 1 species
AGGGUUUCCCGCCCACUGGCCGGGCCGCGGCGCUCCGGUCCCGGGUCCCUAGAAACGGAAGGGGAGAUUCACCGGGAUGGCGGCGUUCCCGGACCCCUGAAGGCCCUGACUCCGGACCCAAGUGGGAUCGGCGACUCCUCUGCAGUCCAGGAAGAGUGGAAUGCAGGGAUUGCUUUGGUCCCCAGAAAUGGUCUGGGGAAAGAGGGUGGGUCUGACUCUGGAUCCCUGGAGGAGAAUGACCUCAACAUGGCCCUUCAGUGUUUCUUGAGAAGCACAACUGCUGUCACUGAGUCUACUAAACUGAUCUCGAGAGAAGGACAGCAUCCAGUUCUGAUUCCUCCCUAUAACCUUAGCGUCCAGUUGCAAGAGAUGGGGUUUCGCUAUGUUGGUCUCGAACUCUUC